AUUGGAGCCUCCACAAGUUACCGUUAAAAAUGGUCACGCAGAGACUCAUAUGGCAGCAGCUGCAGUGAUAACUCAUUCGGCCUGCUUCAUACGAGACCUGGCUCCCUGGACAGGAGGUUCUAGGUGACUUUCCUCCAUAGGUACUUAACACCUUCCCUUCAGCACUGGCACUGUCCACGAGACGUGUUUACGCCCUGAAGUGGUACCUGUUCUUCAAGUGGUGUUCUCGCCAUGAAGACCCCUGAAGAUGUGCUAUAGUGUUUGUGCUUUCCUUCUUGCAGCAAUGGUUGGAGCUAAGGCUUUCUCUAUAUACCCUCAAAGUACAUUCUGCAGCUAUUUCAGCAUAUCACGACCACAUAGAUGGCAAAACAGUUGGAAAGCACAACCUGGUUGUCAGGUUUCCAGGGGGGUGAGAUGAUUAAAUCCUCCUUGACCCCCCUCCAUAACUUCUUUGUACCUUUCCCUGGUGUUUCGAGCACUUCAGGAUGCUCCCUUUGAGCCUUUGCAAUCAGCAGACUUAAAGCUUCUUUCAAUGAAGACUUUGCUGCUGGUUGCACUGGCCUCUAUCAAGAGGGUAGGGGACCUGCAGGCAUUUCCGGUCGGCGAAUCGCGCCUAGAGUUUGGGCCGGGUAACAACCACGUAGUACUGAUUCCCCAGCAUGGCUAUGUGCCCAAGGUUCCUACCGCUCCGUUCAGGGACUAGGUAGUAAACCUGCAAGCGCUGCCCCUGGAGGAGGAGGCAGACCCAGCCCUGGCUUUGCUCUGUCCCAUUGGUAUGUACGUGGAUAGAACUUGGCUUAUCAAGCACAAGGCGUGCCCUGCCCGCUCAGGUUGCAUGCACACUCCACAAGAGGCAUUGCAUCCUCCUGGCACAGAACCAAAUCAAGGCUGGGUUCCAUAUGUCCUCCUCCUAUCGUCCUUCCAGGCAAGAAGGGGUAGAGGCUUGCACAGGCCACUGAAUGGGGUGCAGCAGCUGUGGCCCUUUGGUAUGGAUUCCUAUUCUAUUCCUACUGACCAACUGAAGAAGAACAUCUCCUGAAGAAGGGAACGGAGACGCCACGUCCCGUCGCCACAUCUGCUGCUGCCCGCCAGGUUGGCCAGCUUUUUCAUGCUUGGCUCCUCAGCAAAAAACUGAAGUACAAUCAGACCAGCUGCUCGUUAUAUACCUGCGCUGCGUGGCUGCGCAGCUGAUGCAAAUGAUUUCACGGCAAUGUGUAUUGGCUUGUUUAGUUUCACUCGAAGUAGAUUGGCCUCUCUAGUAAGAUUCCUAUUCGUCGGUCUCCAUGUGGCGUCUCCGUUCCCUCCUUCAUCUCAUACUGUUACAACCGUAGUUGCAAUCAAUUGCAUCGAAUAUUUGUGGGACAAAGAAUCAGAGGAAUAGCCCUUACGGUUCAAAAGUUAUUUGCAUAAACAUAAGUGAAAAUUUGGAAAAUUGGUAGCGCUUGAGGGUUUCCAAAGCGUAAGAAAAAGAAACGGAUGAAGAAGAAUGCCAACAGAUACAAUAGCACCUUCGGUACUUGGCUCCUAAUAAUAAUUGUAUAUCUUCUAGGGUCCUCUGGGUGUUCCUGGAGUUGAGGGGGUGCCUGGGUCUUUUGGACCCAAGGGUUUGAAAGGGGAUCGUGGUCUGAGGGGGCCAUCUGGAAGAGUAGGAAGCGUGGGUCCACAAGGAGACAGUGGGGAUGCAGGAGUUCCAGGAAAACCUGGGCCAAAAGGCUUGCCUGGGCCCACAGUAUGCUAACUAAUUUUUGUUUCUUAUUGAUUAACCUAAUCAAAUGGUUAGUUUCACUAUUUGUUGUUUU